rnacentral:RNase_P_RNA from 1 species
AUUGCUCACCAACCUAUCGCGGUGCUGCGGAAGCAGCAAUGAGGAAAGUCCGAACAACGUAGAGCGCCACACCACCUAACGGGUGGGUUCUGCCGAAGGGUAGAAACAGAGAGUGUCACAGAAAAUAACCGCUCCGACGUGUCGGAGUAAGGGUGAAAACGGGCGGUAAGAGCGCACGGCGUUUCGUAGUAAUACGAAAGGCGGAUAAACCUUGUGGGUUGAAAUGCCAAAUAAACCAUGACGUAGCAACUUCGGUUGCCACACAGUGUUGCUCGCGCUGCAUGGAGGGUAGGCAGAUACAGCAUUUUAGUGAUAAAAUGCGUAGAUAAAUGAUAGGUAAAUUGUGCCGAUUUUUUCGGUGCGAGGAACAGAAUUCGGCUUAUCGGUGAGCAAUUUUU